GUAGGUGUGGUUGUAACUGGUAACACGCAAAGCCUUACCAACUUUGAAUUGCGGGUUCGAGCCCCGUCACCUGCU
rnacentral:tRNA from 1 species